rnacentral:lncRNA from 1 species
UCUAUUACAGAUAGUUGAUUUUAUUUUAUUUUAUUUAUUUAUUUAUUUAUUUAUUUAUUUAUUUAUUAGCUUACUCUUGAUGCUGAGAUGCUAAAGUCUUCAGGUCUGUGACCUAAGGGUGUGCCUGUCACAUAGCAAGCAUUUUGUAUUUAUGUGUAUGAGUGUUUGACUUACAUGUAUGUCUGUAGACCACAUGCAUGUCUGAUGCCUACAGGGACCAGAAGAGGUUAUCAGAUCACCUCAUAUUGGAGUUACAGACAGUUAUAAGCUGCAAUGUGGAUGCUGGGAAUCGAACUUCGGUCCUCUGCAAGAGCAACCAGGACUCUUAACUACCGAGCUCCUAACUUCUGUUUUGGGCCACAAAAAUUGACCAUUACCUAUAUCUGCCACCAAUUCCAACUUGUCUAGCUUAGCCGCACCAAGUUUGUGUGUCUGAAAGUAUAGUUCUCUGACUCUUACAUCAGAAUCACCAGCCUGUGCUAUACCAGCUUGCACCUUGCCCAGGACCUGUUCAGUAAGACCUCUGGGUACAGAGGAUGAAUGCGCCUCGUCACGAUGUGCCUUGUAUCCGAACUGGAAUGUUACUAUGCAUGCAUUGAUCCUAUGAGCUGAACACGUCAGAGCUCAGUUACUUAGAAUCAGAGAAUAGAGAGCCUGGCCAUGACCACAGUGGGCUUCUCUCCAGCAGGCCACCUCGCACACCGCGUGCUUUGGGAGCAUGGGUGAGAAUCCCAAGGCAAGGAGUUCUGAGGAAUCCACCUUACAGGUGUGAUGCAUCCUGAUGCAGUCUCUCGGUGUGGUCCGUACCCGUACAUCUGGUACACAGAGGUGGUUCCGGCCUUGCGAAAGGAGACCCCACAGCAUCUUUCUUCAUUGAGUGGCUUGAGUAGAUGAGGUCAGCAGAAGACACUGGAAGAGGCAUAGUCUGAUGUUGAGACUCCUCCUCUCCCAGUCUUCCUUUAUAUUUCUGCAAACUCUCUUGAGUGGCUGAUGGUUUUAUUUCUGUAAAAGGUUCAGUAUUGAUCUGUUUGCAGUUAGUACCCUUCCCUGAGGGGAUGGUUGCACAGCCUGUCCACAUGUGACCAGUGCUUCUUGUAGAGUGGCCCAGGGCCUUCAGUAUGUGUAUUCUGAAAAGUUACUAAUCCUUAGUUGGUAGUACGAACUCAACAACAACAACAACAAACAACAAAACAAGACUUUUUUGUUUGUUUAUUUGUUUGUUUGUUUAUUUGAGAUAGCUGAAUAGCCCUGUCUGUCUGUCUGUCCUGGAGCUCACUCAGGCUGCCCUCAAACACUGUCUUUCUCUGCCUCCUGAGUGCUUGGAAACCCAAGGCAGCAGAUAGUGUGGUGUGAGGAUACUUCAGGAGCCAGUCUGCCUUAGUGGGAUCUGUGAACUUGUGUUGUUCCUCUCCACCCCACUUCUGGCCCUAAAGAGAUUAAUUGUAAGACAAGAUGAAAAGAGCCCCACAGCUACUGAAGAACAGGAAGGGCAAUGUUGGGAAGCAGGGAGAAACCAGAGCCAGAUAAACAUGUAGAGUGCUCGGUAAUGAGGCCAGCUUCUGCAGAUGUAUUGCUGACUGUCAGCACCAAGCUCAGCCCCCUUUUGUAUGCGACUCUCAAACAGGAAACUGGUGUAGCCUCAAGCCACAGAUCUAUCUAAAAGUGAUUAAAAUGAAAUCAUCUUUAAUGGAGUGAAUGAUGUACAAGGGGCAUGCUUAAUCAUGGUACUGGGCCUGUGUGUGUUUUCCCUCUGACAGCUGAUGUAAAUUGCUCGGGAAGGCUGGAUUCGGCAGAUACAUCCCUGGCUUUGAAGUCUUUCCCCUUCAGAUUUGUUCUCUUGGCUAAAAUGAAAUUGUCUCCUCUAGGACAUUUGACUAUUGUCAUCAUUCGUGUCUUUCACAAAGUGUAUGUGUACUGGGCAUAUAAUUGGAGACAUUGUACUAUACAAACCAAAAAAAUGCCUUUCCCCAUCUUACCCUGUUAAUACGACAUACUAUGUACUGUGUUAAUAUGACUCCUGUGUAUUAAACAGUGAGCCAAGUGCUAUAUAAACUCAAGCAUAAGGUCCUCACGACACUGCAACGGAUGUCCCAGAAACAUUUUAUAGAUGAAAACGUUGAGGUCACCUAGCAGUGCAGGGGAGAAGCAGAAUUGAAAUAAAGCACUGGGUGACCAUACAGUGGCCACCAAGACCCCUACCAGUGCUUCCCUGGGGAUAGAAGCAGUGAAUGGGACAUCAUUCUCUUGUGUCAUAUCAUGUAGUAGUAUAGACUUAGAGGUAGGCUCUCAAUUUCAGCCACUUGGGGAAACUGAGGUCUGCUUUCAUGGAAGGCAAUUCAGCCAAGGACACCCCCCCCCCCCCACACACACACACACAUUAAACUUUGCAGAGAUAGCUGAGGAGAUGGCUCACUGGGUAAAAUAGUUGCUGUGUGAGCAUGAGGUUGUGAGUUUGAAUCCCCAGAACUACUCUAUUCCAGCUGCAAGAGCAUGCUCUAUGAUCCCAUCCCAGCACCCCCAGACAGGAGGCAAAGACAGAGAAUUUCCAGAAACGUCCAGGCCAGCUCACCUCAAAGUGGAAGGUGAGGGCAACACCUGGGCUUUUCCUAAGCCUGACUCUUAGGACACUGUACAUUUGAGUCCAUAUUCAUGUAUGUUCAUGUGAUUGUGUGCACAUGUGUGAGCGCGCGCGUGCACACACAUACACACACACACACAUGGAGUGGGGGGACAGGCAGACAGACAGACAGUGUUUUUAAUGCAGAUAAUAAAAAGAGCCCUGCCUGAAACCUCCUGUCCAAGCCCCUGGACAGGACCACCCUUCACAGUCAGUACUGCCGUUGCCUUGGUGAUGUCUUUGCGCGGCGUUGAGGGCGCUGUUAGAACAGUGGCUUUUACAUUUUGCUUAGAUGCUCCUCCUCACUGGACUUUACCAUAGAGGGGUUGGCUUUCCUUGUGGUGAUUUUAUUCAGAUGAUACAGGGUCAUCAUGACUAGGAGAAGGAUUAGAAACCCCAGGGACUUAACACGUGUGGGACCUAGGGACUGAACCUGCCUCUAACAAGCUCCCAGGGGCUGCUGCCUGUGGACUGAUGACACUUUAAGUGACCAACGUGCAGGUAGAGUGUGGGAAACCUUUCCUCCGCUUCUGCUUUGUGGGAAGUCUCCCCAGGUAUCUACGUGGCUGGGUUGUGGUGCCGUGGGUAAGAUCGUUUAGGUGGAAUUGACUCCAAGGUCUGCCUGCGGUGGCCAUGUCUUUAAAGGUGCACCGCAUGGAGAAUGUUCACCUGGAAUGGCCAGGUUGAGGAUUGCAAGGUGUGGCGUUUGGGUCUGUGCUGCAUGUGGGGUGGGUUCCUUCAAGGGCCACCCCUGACAGAAGAUGUCAGCCAACUGUGGCGAGUCUCAGCUCUGCCACUGCCAACUGUGUGUCAGUUAGUGAGUUCCUGUACCAACCCAGCUUUAGUGAUCUUAUCUGCCAAGUGGAGGCGGAACAUGGCAUGUACACGUGCAGAAGGCAUGUAAUCGCUUCAGUCACUGGCCCACAGGGUCUCCUAAAACAAAGAGGGCAACGUGCCCUCCCUCAGACGUUUGAGAAGUCAGUGGAGAGAGUGUGUUCUUGUGAAGUGUCUCGGGAAUCUGUUUUAAUGGGUAAAUGUGGUUUGUAAAUAUUAAAAUUUUGUACUCACGUGGUGCCUGGAAAUGGUUUGAGUAGAACAGUUGGUCUAGUGUUACUAGAUUCCCACCAUCCUCCUGACUCUCCAAAUGAGAAUUUCUCACC